AUUGGCCUAUCUUUAAAUUUCACUAUCGGCAGCAGCCCGGGCUUAACAAGCGAAGGCCCACUUCGCGUCCACCCAUCAGCUCUCGUCCUCUCACCGUCCUACGCUCUGCCGCCCGCCACCAGGCGCCAGAUCGACACCGGAGGUGAUGUCGCCGCCGGCGAGCCACCGCCGCCGUUCUCGGUUCCUUAGCUGGCCGCUGCUCUUCAUCGCGAUCCUCGCGAUCCACUCGCUGGCAGUAUACCUUUUUACCCGCGGCUUCCUCCUCACCCGCACCGAGCUGGACCUCCACAGCAGCCGCGACGACUUCUCGCCGCAGGGCAACGUCUCCCCCGGGUGCGACUCCUGGCCCCCGGCCGCCGUCGACCGCCUUGUCAUUGUCGUCCUCGACGCGCUAAGAUUUGAUUUCGUGGCGCCGAGUACCUUUUUUGCAGAGAAGCAGCCGUGGAUGGACAAGCUGCACGUUUUGCAGAAGCUUGCUGCCGACGAAAAGACCUCUUCAAGGAUCUUCAAAGCUCUCGCUGAUCCACCAACAACUAGCCUCCAGCGCCUUAAGGCUCUCACCACGGGUGGACUCCCUACCUUUAUUGAUGUCGGCAAUAGUUUUGGUGCUCCUGCAAUAGUCGAAGAUAAUAUAAUGCAUCAGUUGGCUAAAAAUGGAAAGAGAGUUGUCAUGAUGGGGGAUGAUACAUGGAUACAACUGUACCCUGAACACUUCAACAAGUCAUUCCCAUACCCUUCCUUUAAUGUUAAAGACCUUGACACAGUAGAUAAUGGUGUAAUUGAGCACUUGCUUCCAUCUCUUCACAAAAAUGAUUGGGAUGUUCUUAUUGCACAUUUUCUUGGAGUGGACCAUGCAGGACAUAUAUUUGGUGUUGACUCAACCCCGAUGAUCCAGAAGUUGGAGCAAUACAAUCAGAUCCUGGAGGGUGUUAUUGACACAUUGAGAAGUCUAUCCAAACCUGGUGGUACCCAUGAGAAUACUUUGCUUUUGGUAAUGGGUGAUCAUGGUCAAACCCUGAAUGGUGACCAUGGAGGAGGGACUGCUGAAGAGGUUGAAACAUCGCUGUUUGCAUGGAGUCCAAGGACCCCACCAGAUGCAGUCUUAUCUGUUCUUGAUGAUAGUUCGUGCACUGUUAAUCUGCAUGGGGAAGAGGUUUGCGUCAGCACUAUGCAGCAGCUUGAUUUUGCGGUGACUAUAUCAGCACUUCUUGGCAUACCUUUUCCCUUUGGAAGCAUUGGCCGUGUAAACCCAGAGUUGUACGCCUUGAGUAUCGGGACAUGGGUAAAUCAAAGGAGGGGUACCAAUGCUUGUACCUCACAGGAUGAUCUAGAAGCAUGGAUGGGGAGAUAUGCUGAAGUUCUAUGUGUAAAUUGUUGGCAGGUAAAGAGAUACAUUGAUCAAUAUUCUGCUACUUCCGUUAUUGGAUUUCCAUCAGAAGACCUGCAACAUAUCAUGGACCUAUAUUCAAGAGCUCAGGAAAAUUGGUCAGCUUCUCUGAUAACUAGUUCAUCAGAGACAUGUAGUCAAGAAAAAGUAGAGAAGGGUUCAGUUCUGCUGCAGCAAAUUGAUGCAUACAAUGACUUCUUGAAGAGUUUUGCAAAGCUUGCUCGCUCUGCUUGGACAGAAUUUGAUUUAUGGUCAAUGGGCAUUGGUCUUUUACUUAUGAUGUUGUCAGUUAUCAUUCAGGCAUCCAUGCUUGUAAAUAUGACCAUAAGCCAAUCUUCAGAUCAGAAAAGUUCUGGUUCAAGCAUAAUUCAUAGACUUUCCCUUGCUUUUUCUUUAGUCGUGAUUCGAGCAGCUAGUUUCUUAUCGAACAGCUAUAUAUUGGCGGAAGGUAGAGUUGCAAAUUUUCUUUUGGCCACAAGUUGUAUCACCAGUGUGUGGCACUCGGUGCUGAAGGGGAACAUCAGCAUAGAAAACUUUGUUUUUCUUCUUUUAAAUAUUUUCACACGGUUUGGAAUUGAGGUUGGGAUGUCAAAACAAUUGCCUGCCCCAACAAUUACAAAGGAUCAUCCUGUGAGCGUCAUUUAUAAAAUCCUUGGUGCUAAUUCUUGCAACAUCCUCUUGGAGCUAUUCCCCAUCAUAUCUCUAGCCUUUGUGGCUUACAUUAUGUUGAAAUGCCUAUCCCGUGCAAUCUGUCAGAGGUUCUUGAAGUUCUUUCUUUUGUGUGGAACAAUGGUGAGUUAUUUAUCUAUAGCGUUUCAUUGGGCUUCAGAGACUACUUUGUUUGCUCAUGCUGGGACUGUUCAAGAAUUUGGAAGAAGUUUGGCUCCUCGCAUUGUUUACACUAUUGGAGGUCUAUCACUAGCCAUUUCUGCAUUUUCUCGGAUAUUUGGUUCAACUGUUCAUUUGAAGUUGAACAAAAGGAUAAUUAUUUUAUCGGCUGUCAUGCUUUGUUCUUGGAGUCCAACUAUUUUGAUCCUGUUGGGAAGGCAAGGUCCAUUUGUGGCAUUGAUUUGCAUGACAGGAGCUUGGUGUAUGAUAAAAUUGCAACAGAAACAUCAGAGAGAGACAGAACUCUCUGUUGCUGACCCUGUUUCGGUGAUUCAGUGGAGCCUUCUUGCAGUUUGUCUAUUUUAUAUGACAGGUCACUGGUGUACAUUUGAUGGCCUCCGAUAUGGUGCAGCUUUCAUCGGUUUUGAUCAUUUUCAUAUCAUUCGACAAGGCCUUCUACUUUCCAUUGACACCUUUGGUAUUUCUCAUGUCCUGCCAAUUCUAAGCCUUCCACUUAUUGCCAUAGUGUGGUACAACACCAUAUCCAAGGACAACGAACUGAAGGACGUGAUUCUCAACAAUAUUAAUAAGGUGCUUUUGAUGUAUGGUCUUAUAACAACAAUCACUGCUACGCUAACAAUCAUAUGCGUUGCUAUUCAAAGGCGUCACUUAAUGGUUUGGGGUUUGUUUGCUCCAAAAAUGCGAUCCAUCUCCAAGCUUCAAGGAAUCGACAGUCAAGCUUCGUCGACCAAGUGAUCAAACUCCUCGAGCUUUACGAGAUUGAAGAUUCUGAGCAUCUGUUUGGUGAAGGUUGCCUUUGGUGCAAUCUAUGCUCAGGUAAAGGAGAAGGCGUCGAGGCGGAUCUCCAGGAGUUCCAGGACUUCGACGAGUUCGAGGAUUAGGCUAGCGACCACCCCCAGUCAGCUGCCUGUGGUGGGUUUAUUUACGUUGGCUACGUUUCUAUUCUGUGUACUUUGAUUAUAUUAUGUAAAUGACUCUAGUCUUUCAUAUUAUUACUUAUCUUUAUUGUUAUUCGAAGCAUUGUGCUAUGAUGAGUCAUUUAUGUAA